UAAAUCAAUUAAACUAAUCUCUUAUUAUACUUUUACAUUUAUGUUUGUAUAUUUUCAGGAAGCAAUUGUAUACAAUCAAAUUGUUCUAUGGAGGUAAAUUUGUGCACGUCCCUAAGGUCGGCUACACAUCAAGACAGUGUAAGGUGUAUAACAAUGUCGAUCUUGAAAGUCUUAAUAUCCAAGAACUCAAGGUAUGUGAUGUACUUGGAAUGUAUGAUUCUAUCUACUACAAGACUGCAUCAAGUAUAGAGUUGCUUAAUAAUGAGUCAAUGGGUGAGGUCAUUAAAAUUGCUCAAUUACUUGAUAUAUGGCUAUGCUCUUUGUGUACCAUGUCACCCCUCCUGAAAUAGAAUCUGAUGAUGAUAACACUGGAGAUGAUACAAAUGAUUUAGAUGAUGAAGAUUGUAGUGAUGAAGAGUUCAUUGAAAUAAAGAGGAAGAGUAGGACAGACAAGGAAUAAUUAGAUGAACUUGCAAAGCAAAACUCUAUUGAUGAAGGGGCUGAGUCAGAUGGUUCAUUUAAUAGUGGGUCCUUAAAUUAUGUGAGUAGUGAAGAAGAAUCUGAUACUGAUAUUUGUUACUCCCUCCGUCCCAAUCAAUUCUAUACAGUUUCUUUUUUGGGCCGUCCCAUCAUUUCUAUACAUUCCAAAAAUAGUAACUUUUAAUAAUAUAAAACACUAUUACACCUACUACUUUCUUCCACUAUCUUCAUUCUAUAAUAAUAUAAACACUAUUACACCCACUACUUUCCUCCACUAUCUCAAAUCUAUCAUUAAAUAUAAAUGGGUCCCACCACUUCACCCAUUUUUCCUCUAAUUUUACUCACUUUUUACACUUUUUCUUGGUCUCCGUGUCCAAAUCAUUUGUAUAUAAAUCAUCGGGACGGAGGGAGUAUGCAACACCACCUACUUUUGUCAAGGAAAAACGUGUAGAUGAAAAAUUCAAUGACAAUAGCCCUGCAAAAGAUAUACAGUGGAAGGUAGGGCUUAUAUUUAGUGAUAAAAAUGAACUAAAGAAUGCUGUUAGGUCAAGCUCAAUGGAGACUAGUAGAACCUACCAUUACAUUAUUGAUGAUAAAAAAAAAAAAAGAAUUCAAGUGGGAUGUGCAAAAAGUUGUCCUUUUAAGAUGUGGGUCACCUUAAUUGAAGCUACCCAAGGCUGGCAAAUAAAAACUCUAAAAGAUGACCAUAAUUGUGUGUGGAAUUAUAACAAGAGGCUUGUCACUGUGAAAUGGCUUGCUGAUAAAUACGGGGACAGAAUAAGAAAAAAUCCUAGUUGGAAAUUAGGGGAAAUGCAAGAAGAAUUUAAGAGGGAACUUAAGGUGGAUGUUGGUGAGUGGAAGUGUUUUAGAGUGAGGCAGAGAGCUUUGAAAGGAGUUGAGGAAAAAAUGAGAGAUCAUUAUUCUAACAUAAGAAAGUUUGGUGGUGAAAUAUUAAGAAGCAACACUCAAAAUACUGUCGAGAUUACAACAACCAGGUUGCAAGAUGGGGAUCCACCUAGAUUUCAAAGGAUCUACAUUUUUUAUGCAUGACUGAAAAAAUCUUGGAAAGAAACAUGUAGGCCGGUGCUUGGACUUGACGGGUGUGUUUUAAAGACUGUUUGUGGAGGCCAGCUACUUAGUGCGGUAGGAAGAGAUGGUAAUAACAGUAUUUUGCCUGUUGCCAUGGCUGCUGUUGAAGGUGAGAAUUACGACAGUUGGAAGUGAUUUUUAGAGUUAUUGAUCGAUGAUUUGGACUUGGGACAAGGAACUGGAAAGACACUAAUCUCAGAUCAGCAGAAGGGCUUGGAUAAAGCAAUUAGAGAGUUGAUGUCUUUUGUAGAACAUAGAUUCUGUACAAGGCAUUUGUGCAGUAAUUUGAAGAGUAAGAACACAUCAGAGGCAGUUGUUAGUUGUUUCUAGAAAGCUUCUACGGCCACGUAUCCCCUAGCUUUCAAUAUAGUGCCUACUGAGGUUGAUGAGACACAUGAUGAGGCUGAAAUGCACAGGAGGGAGCAAGCAACUGGUGAAGAUCAAAUGAUGGAAGAAUUGUUAAAUGAGAUGGGUAAUCAGGAUGCUACACAAAAGGACCCAAAAUCUUCAAUGAUAUUUAUGCCUACACUAGGAAAAAGGGGUAACACUAUUACUGGAAGUACCCACCUGUUUCAAUACCUCUAACUGCUGACAAUUCAUAAAGGAAAAAAAAAAAGGGAAUCAAGCAUCUCAAUCAAGACAAGUUAUGACAAAGAGUAAAAGUGGAAGAAUUUUGAAGAAAGUACAGAAGUUUACACCUCCAAGACAAUGUAAAAAAUGAAGUGCAGUGCUAGUUUAUUGUGUAACAGAGUACUACUUUAUUUAUGCUUUUGGUAGUCUAAAACCAGUGUGCGGCCCUGCUACAUGCUUUUGUCACUCACUGGACAAUUUGCUUAUGUAUGCUUUUGGUUCUCUUUUGAUACUCUUGAUUAAGUGCAAUAGUUGCAACUACUUAAGUUAUUGUAAGGAUGAUGUUUAAUGUCCAGCUUUUCAACAUUUAGUUCA